AACCAUAGCAUUAAUAAUACAAAGUGGGUAAAAGCGUAGGCUGCUAUUCAACUGAAUGAAGUUUACAUUUUAUAAAGGAUUAGUGGUAUGCUAUCUUAUGUGUGUCAAGUAACGUAUCUGUUGUCUUAUUUACUGGAUACUUUUGGCAUCCUUGAUGGGUAAAACUUUUCUGCGUAGCAAUUCGCUAUUUACUUAAGUUGAGUAAUAAAGGGCGUAGACAU